rnacentral:sRNA from 1 species
AGUGACAGUGAGGGAGGGUGUGACUAGUGACACAGAGAGGGAGGGGGUGACUAGGGACAGAGGGAGGAGUGACUAGGGACAGAGUGAGGGAGGUGGUGACUAGUGACUAGUGACAGUUAGGGAGGGAAGGGGUGACCAGUGACAGUGAGGAAGGGGGUGACUAGGGACAGAGUGAGGGAGGUGGUGACUAGUGACAGUCACCACCUCCCUCACUCUGUCACUGUCACCCCCUCCCUCUGUCACUAGUCACCCACUCCAUCCCUCCCUCUGUCACUAGUCACCACCUCCCUCACUCUGUCACUGUCACCCCCUCCCUCUGUCACUAGUCACCCACUCCAUCCCUCCCUCUGUCACUAGUCACCCACUCCCUCCCUCCCUCUGUCACCAGUCAUCCCCUCACUCUGUCACU